rnacentral:rRNA from 1 species
ACGUAGGGUGCAAGCGUUGUCCGGAAUUACUGGGUGUAAAGGGUGCGCAGGCGGGUCUGUUCGUCAGGGGUUAAAUAUCUCGGCUUAACCGAGAAAGUGCCCUUGAUACGGCAGAUCUUGAGUGUGAGAGAGGAUGGUAGAAUUCCUGGUGUAGCGGUGAAAUGCGUAGAUAUCAGGAGGAAUACCCGUGGCGAAGGCGGCCAUCUGGCUCACUACUGACGCUCAGGCACGAAAGCGUGGGGAUCAAACAG